rnacentral:rRNA from 1 species
AGCGUACACGGUGGAUGCCCUGGCAGUCAGAGGCGAUGAAGGACGUGCUAAUCUGCGAUAAGCGUCGGUAAGGUGAUAUGAACCGUUAUAACCGGCGAUUUCCGAAUGGGGAAACCCAGUGUGUUUCGACACACUAUCAUUAACUGAAUCCAUAGGUUAAUGAGGCGAACCGGGGGAACUGAAACAUCUAAGUACCCCGAGGAAAAGAAAUCAACCGAGAUUCCCCCAGUAGCGGCGAGCGAACGGGGAGCAGCCCAGAGCCUGAAUCAGUAUGUGUGUUAGUGGAAGCGUCUGGAAAGGCGCGCGAUACAGGGUGACAGCCCCGUACACAAAAAUGCACAUGCUGUGAGCUCGAUGAGUAGGGCGGGACACGUGGUAUCCUGUCUGAAUAUGGGGGGACCAUCCUCCAAGGCUAAAUACUCCUGACUGACCGAUAGUGAACCAGUACCGUGAGGGAAAGGCGAAAAGAACCCCGGCGAGGGGAGUGAAAAAGAACCUGAAACCGUGUACGUACAAGCAGUGGGAGCUCGCUUAGGCGUGUGACUGCGUACCUUUUGUAUAAUGGGUCAGCGACUUAUAUUCUGUAGCAAGGUUAACCGAAUAGGGGAGCCGAAGGGAAACCGAGUCUUAACUGGGCGUUAAGUUGCAGGGUAUAGACCCGAAACCCGGUGAUCUAGCCAUGGGCAGGUUGAAGGUUGGGUAACACUAACUGGAGGACCGAACCGACUAAUGUUGAAAAAUUAGCGGAUGACUUGUGGCUGGGGGUGAAAGGCCAAUCAAACCGGGAGAUAGCUGGUUCUCCCCGAAAGCUAUUUAGGUAGCGCCUCGUGAAUUCAUCUCCGGGGGUAGAGCACUGUUUCGGCAAGGGGGUCAUCCCGACUUACCAACCCGAUGCAAACUGCGAAUACCGGAGAAUGUUAUCACGGGAGACACACGGCGGGUGCUAACGUCCGUCGUGAAGAGGGAAACAACCCAGACCGCCAGCUAAGGUCCCAAAGUCAUGGUUAAGUGGGAAACGAUGUGGGAAGGCCCAGACAGCCAGGAUGUUGGCUUAGAAGCAGCCAUCAUUUAAAGAAAGCGUAAUAGCUCACUGGUCGAGUCGGCCUGCGCGGAAGAUGUAACGGGGCUAAACCAUGCACCGAAGCUGCGGCAGCGACGCUUAUGCGUUGUUGGGUAGGGGAGCGUUCUGUAAGCCUGCGAAGGUGUGCUGUGAGGCAUGCUGGAGGUAUCAGAAGUGCGAAUGCUGACAUAAGUAACGAUAAAGCGGGUGAAAAGCCCGCUCGCCGGAAGACCAAGGGUUCCUGUCCAACGUUAAUCGGGGCAGGGUGAGUCGACCCCUAAGGCGAGGCCGAAAGGCGUAGUCGAUGGGAAACAGGUUAAUAUUCCUGUACUUGGUGUUACUGCGAAGGGGGGACGGAGAAGGCUAUGUUGGCCGGGCGACGGUUGUCCCGGUUUAAGCGUGUAGGCUGGUUUUCCAGGCAAAUCCGGAAAAUCAAGGCUGAGGCGUGAUGACGAGGCACUACGGUGCUGAAGCAACAAAUGCCCUGCUUCCAGGAAAAGCCUCUAAGCAUCAGGUAACAUCAAAUCGUACCCCAAACCGACACAGGUGGUCAGGUAGAGAAUACCAAGGCGCUUGAGAGAACUCGGGUGAAGGAACUAGGCAAAAUGGUGCCGUAACUUCGGGAGAAGGCACGCUGAUAUGUAGGUGAAGUCCCUCGCGGAUGGAGCUGAAAUCAGUCGAAGAUACCAGCUGGCUGCAACUGUUUAUUAAAAACACAGCACUGUGCAAACACGAAAGUGGACGUAUACGGUGUGACGCCUGCCCGGUGCCGGAAGGUUAAUUGAUGGGGUUAGCGCAAGCGAAGCUCUUGAUCGAAGCCCCGGUAAACGGCGGCCGUAACUAUAACGGUCCUAAGGUAGCGAAAUUCCUUGUCGGGUAAGUUCCGACCUGCACGAAUGGCGUAAUGAUGGCCAGGCUGUCUCCACCCGAGACUCAGUGAAAUUGAACUCGCUGUGAAGAUGCAGUGUACCCGCGGCAAGACGGAAAGACCCCGUGAACCUUUACUAUAGCUUGACACUGAACAUUGAGCCUUGAUGUGUAGGAUAGGUGGGAGGCUUUGAAGUGUGGACGCCAGUCUGCAUGGAGCCGACCUUGAAAUACCACCCUUUAAUGUUUGAUGUUCUAACGUUGACCCGUAAUCCGGGUUGCGGACAGUGUCUGGUGGGUAGUUUGACUGGGGCGGUCUCCUCCUAAAGAGUAACGGAGGAGCACGAAGGUUGGCUAAUCCUGGUCGGACAUCAGGAGGUUAGUGCAAUGGCAUAAGCCAGCUUGACUGCGAGCGUGACGGCGCGAGCAGGUGCGAAAGCAGGUCAUAGUGAUCCGGUGGUUCUGAAUGGAAGGGCCAUCGCUCAACGGAUAAAAGGUACUCCGGGGAUAACAGGCUGAUACCGCCCAAGAGUUCAUAUCGACGGCGGUGUUUGGCACCUCGAUGUCGGCUCAUCACAUCCUGGGGCUGAAGUAGGUCCCAAGGGUAUGGCUGUUCGCCAUUUAAAGUGGUACGCGAGCUGGGUUUAGAACGUCGUGAGACAGUUCGGUCCCUAUCUGCCGUGGGCGCUGGAGAACUGAGGGGGGCUGCUCCUAGUACGAGAGGACCGGAGUGGACGCAUCACUGGUGUUCGGGUUGUCAUGCCAAUGGCACUGCCCGGUAGCUAAAUGCGGAAGAGAUAAGUGCUGAAAGCAUCUAAGCACGAAACUUGCCCCGAGA